ACCUUGCUGACUAGUGCCAAGUAGCACGAAACCCGGGUCCAAGGU
rnacentral:hammerhead_ribozyme from 1 species